rnacentral:lncRNA from 1 species
AAAUGCCCAGAGACCCGGGACUGAGGGAAGCCUGCCUGGUUCACUGAAAGAGGGAUCUGGGUCCAGGGCCCAGGCUCAGCUUCCCCGGAGAUCCCUUCCCGGAGAACCGACUGGUGCCGGUUCCCCCGCAGCGGGGCGCCGAUCCCCAGCGAACCUCGCCACUGGGGGAACCUGGAAGGGAAAAGCGGGAUAGUUGGAGCGGUCAAGACGAGAGCCCGGAGCAGCGGGCCCUGGUCCUAGUGCUGCGCGGUGGCUCGGGGGACUCCAGAGUCUCAUUCCCCCGCGCCGCACACUCCAGCCACCUCGGGACCCCGCUCGGCAGCCCUUCCCCGCCAGGCAGCGCCGAGAUAAAAAACAGAAGAGAAAUCAAAACAGAAGGAGAAAGUUUUCUGAAAUGAAAGAGGUUACGAAGGAAGGGCUAAAAGAAUGGGAAAUGUCAAAGAAAGAAAAAGGAUGCCAGGAGGCAAGGGAAUGGUGCCUAGGCUCCCACCCGUCCCCGCGCACAAGGACCCGAGGCUCCCGGCAAGCCCAGCUGAGCGCCUUCCCCGACCCGCCUCUCUGAAAGUGGCGGCGGCGGAUCCAGUCCGCACAGCCUCCCGCACACCCCCCAGAGAUCCGGGGUCGCAAGAGGCGGGAUUCGCGCCGGACUAGACUGCAGCUGCUCCAGCCACGGGCGCGGUCCGAAGGGAAGCCCUCGUCCGGGGGCCUGCUGUGCCCCGUGCGUGCGUCCGGGUGUCUGAGCGUGC